rnacentral:rRNA from 1 species
GACGAACGCUGGCGGCGUGCUUAACACAUGCAAGUCGAACGGAAAGGCCCUGCUUGCAGGGUACUCGAGUGGCGAACGGGUGAGUAACACGUGGGUGAUCUGCCCUGCACUUCGGGAUAAGCCUGGGAAACUGGGUCUAAUACCGGAUAGGAGCCAUUUUUAGUGUGAUGGUUGGAAAGUUUUUUCGGUGUAGGAUGAGCUCGCGGCCUAUCAGCUUGUUGGUGGGGUAAUGGCCUACCAAGGCGGCGACGGGUAGCCGGCCUGAGAGGGUGGACGGCCACAUUGGGACUGAGAUACGGCCCAGACUCUUACGGGAGGCAGCAGUGGGGAAUAUUGCACAAUGGGCGCAAGCCUGAUGCAGCGACGCCGCGUGGGGGAUGACGGCCUUCGGGUUGUAAACUCCUUUCGCUAGGGACGAAGCUUUUUGUGACGGUACCUAGAUAAGAAGCACCGGCUAACUACGU